UGGGGAAUAUUGGACAAUGGAGGAAACUCUGAUCCAGCAAUUCUGUGUGUGUGAAGAAGGUUUUAGGACUGUAAAACACUUUUAGUAGGGAAGAAAAAAAUGACGGUACCUACAGAAGAAGCAACGGCUAAAUACGUGCCAGCAGCCGCGGUAAUACGUAUGUUGCGAGCGUUAUCCGGAAUUAUUGGGCUUAAAGGGCAUCUAGGCGGUAAGACAAGUUGAAGGUGAAAACCUGUGGCUCAACCAUAGGCUUGCCUACAAAACUGUUGAACUAGAGUACUGGAAAGGUGGGUGGAACUACACGAGUAGAGGUGAAAUUCGUAGAGAUGUGUAGGAAUGCCGAUGAUGAAGAUAACUCACUGGACAGAAACUGACGCUGAAGUGCGAAAGCUAGGGGAGCAAACAGG
rnacentral:rRNA from 1 species